UCCUACGGGGCGCAGCAGUGGGGAAUAUUGCACAAUGGGGGAAACCCUGAUGCAGCGACGCCGCGUGAGUGAGGAAGUAUUUCGGUAUGUAAAGCUCUAUCAGCAGGGAAGAAAAAAUGACGGUACCUGACUAAGAAGCACCGGCUAAAUACGUGCCAGCAGCCGCGGUAAUACGUAGGGGGCAAGCGUUAUCCGGAUUUACUGGGUGUAAAGGGUGCGUAGACGGGAAUGCAAGUUGGUUGUGAAAUCCCUCGGCUUAACUGAGGAACUGCAACCAAAACUACAUUUCUUGAGUGCUGGAGAGG
rnacentral:rRNA from 1 species